rnacentral:rRNA from 1 species
CGGCAAACUCCGUGCCAGCAGCCGCGGUAAUACGGAGGGGGCAAGCGUUGUUCGGAAUUAUUGGGCGUAAAGGGCAUGUAGGCGGUUCGGUAAGUUAAAGGUGAAAUGCCAGGGCUUAACCCUGGAGCUGCUUUUAAUACUGCCAGACUAGAGUCCGGGAGAGGAUAGCGGAAUUCCUAGUGUAGAGGUGAAAUUCGUAGAUAUUAGGAGGAACACCAGUGGCGAAGGCGGCUAUCUGGUCCGGUACUGACGCUGAGGUGCGAAAGCGUGGGGAGCAAACAGGAUUGGAUACCCUGGUAGUCCAC